CGCAAUGGGCGAAAGCCUGACGCAGCAACGCCGCGUGCGGGAUGACGGCCUUCGGGUUGUAAACCGCUUUCAGUGGGACGAAAACAGACGGUACCCACAGAAGAAGCCCCGGCCAACUACGUGCCAGCAGCCGCGGUAACACGUAGGGGGCGAGCGUUGCCCGGAUUUAUUGGGCGUAAAGAGCUCGUAGGCGGCUCGGUAAGUGAGGUGUGAAAAACUCCAGGCUCAACCUGGAGACGCCACCUCAUACUGCCGUGGCUAGAGUCCGGUAGGGGAGCAUGGAAUUCCUGGUGUAGCGGUGAAAUGCGCAGAUAUCAGGAGGAACACCAGUGGCGAAGGCGGUGCUCUGGGCCGGAACUGACGCUGAGGAGCGAAAGCGUGGGGAGCAAACAGGAUUAGAUACCCUGGUAGUCCACGCCGUAAACGUUGGGCACUAGGUGUGGGUCCUUAUCAACGGGAUCCGUGCCGUAGCUAACGCAUUAAGUGCCCCGCCUGGGGAGUACGGCCGCAAGGCUA
rnacentral:rRNA from 1 species